UAUUAGCUCAGGUGGUUAGAGCGCACCCCUGAUAAGGGUGAGGUCCCUGGUUCGAGUCCAGGAUGGCCCACCUGAAGAGAGUUAAGAGUUUGAAGUUAAGAGUUAAGAUUUGAAAAAUCAUAACUUUUCUAUGGAAACUCAUAAAAUUUUGUAUGGGGGUUUAGCUCAGUUGGUAGAGCGCCUGCUUUGCAAGCAGGAUGUCAGCGGUUCGAGUCCGCUAACCUCCACCUAGAGAUAAUUCAGGAAUAAAAAUAAGUGAGAAGAAGUCCAGCAACAUGGUGUGAAGCCAGACUGCUGGGUGAGAACUCAGCCAGAACCUUGAAAACUGCAUAGGAAUGGGAAGCAGGCGGGACACAGACACAGCGAAAGUUGUUAGUUGAAAGUGUUGCGAAAAAGAAGUUGUCAAGGUAAAAAAAAUA
rnacentral:tRNA from 1 species